AGAACGAACGCUGGCGGCAGGCUUAACACAUGCAAGUCGAGCGCAUCCUUCGGGGUGAGCGGCAGACGGGUGAGUAACGCGUGGGGAUAUGCCCAGAGGUGGGGAAUAACUGUGGGAAACUACAGCUAAUACCGCAUAAGCCCUUCGGGGGAAAGAUUUAUUGCCUUUGGAUUAACCCGCGUCAGAUUAGCUAGUUGGUAGGGUAAUGGCCUACCAAGGCGACGAUCUGUAGCUGGUCUGAGAGGAUGAUCAGCCACACUGGGACUGAGACACGGCCCAGACUCCUACGGGAGGCAGCAGUGGGGAAUAUUGGACAAUGGGCGCAAGCCUGAUCCAGCCAUGCCGCGUGAGUGAUGACGGCCUUAGGGUUGUAAAGCUCUUUUAACAGGGACGAUAAUGACGGUACCUGUAGAAUAAGCCCCGGCUAACUUCGUGCCAGCAGCCGC
rnacentral:rRNA from 1 species